rnacentral:rRNA from 1 species
CCUACGUGAGGCAGCAGUGGGGAAUAUUGCACAAUGGGGGAAACCCUGAUGCAGCGACGCCGCGUGCGUGAAGAAGUAAUUCGUUAUGUAAAGCUCUAUCAGCAGGGAAGAAAAUGACGGUACCUGAGUAAGACGCCCCGGCUAACUACGUGCCAGCAGCCGCGGUAAUACGUAGGGGGCAAGCGUUAUCCGGAUUUACUGGGGGUAAAGGGAGCGUAGACGGCAGUGCAAGGCUGGAGUGAAAGGCGGGGGCUCAACCCCCGGACUGCUCUGGAAACUGGACGGCUGGAGUGCAGGAGAGGUAAGUGGAAUUCCUAGUGUAGCGGUGAAAUGCGUAGAUAUUAGGAGGAACACCAGUGGCGAAGGCGGCUUACUGGACUGUAACUGACGUUGAGGCUCGAAAGCGUGGGGAGCAAACAGGAUUAGAUACCCUGGUAGUC